CGGGCCCGGCCGAGCGGCAGCCCCUGCCCUGGAGGGUGGUCUCCAGGGACCAAGGCGUGGCGGGCGGUGCGGAGAGGCGCGGCACAGAUGGCUACAUCAGAGGUUACUUGGGUGAGUUGGCUCCCCAGGCUUUUGAGAUACCUGCCUUUUGUCCAGCACUGCAUCGUCCUCGCAUAUCCAAGGCUGUGUCUCCCUUCAGCAUCACCACUCGGCUUUUAGCAGACUGAAGCCAUGGUUUUUAGUUUUGUCUCUAGUGAUGAGCAGAAAAGAGGGAUGAGGAAGAGGCUUUACUGGUCCAACCAGAAAGAGAAGCUAAGAACCCAUGACUGGAUUCUCUCCCUUGGACACCCCACAGACCAAUAUCUCACCUUCCAGGAGAAGACCCUUCCAGCUCUUGCUUCUUUAAACCUAUUAACUUAGUUUUCUUUAGCUAGACUCCCAAACAUCAGCUUUUACAAUUCAGCCUAUGGUUCAAUCACUAUGGCAAGAUAAACAUUUGUUUAGGUGUGAAAC
rnacentral:lncRNA from 1 species